rnacentral:tRNA from 1 species
UAGCUCAGUGGUAGAGCAUUUGCUUCACAUGCACCAAGGCCUUGGGUUCAAUUCCCAG